AAAUCUGGCCCUCGGGUCCGAGUUGUAAUUUGUAGAGGAUGCUUUUGGCGCGGUGCCUUCCGAGUUCCCUGGAACGGGACGCCUUAGAGGGUGAGAGCCCCGUACGGUUGGACACCAAGCCUCUGUAAAGCUCCUUCGACGAGUCGAGUAGUUUGGGAAUGCUGCUCUAAAUGGGAGGUAAAUUUCUUCUAAAGCUAAAUAUUGGCCAGAGACCGAUAGCGCACAAGUAGAGUGAUCGAAAGAUGAAAAGCACUUUGAAAAGAGGGUUAAACAGCACGUGAAAUUGUUGAAAGGGAAGCGUUUGCGACCAGACCUCGCCCCGGCGGAUCAUCCGGCGUUCUCGCCGGUGCACUUCGCCGGGCUGAGGCCAGCAUCGGUUUCCGCGGGGGGACAAAAGCGGGGGGAACGUAGCUCCCUCGGGAGUGUUAUAGCCCCCCGCACAAUACCCUCGCGGGGACCGAGGACCGCGCUUCGGCAAGGAUGCUGGCGUAAUGGUCGUCAACGACCCGUCUUGAAACACGGACCAAGGAGUCGAACAUUUGUGCGAGUGUUUGGGUGUCAAACCCUCACGCGUAAUGAAGGUGAACGUAGGUGAGAGCCCUCGCGGGCGCAUCAUCGACCGAUCCUGAUGUCUUCGGAUGGAUUUGAGUAAGAGCAUAACUGUUCGGACCCGAAAGAUGGUGAACUAUGCGUGGAUAGGGUGAAGCCAGAGGAAACUCUGGUGGGAGCUCGCAGCGGUUCUGACGUGCAAAUCGAUCGUCAAAUCUGCGCAUGGGGGCGAAAGACUUAUCGAACCAUCUAGUAGCUGGUUACCGCCGAAGUUUCCCUCAGGAUAGCAGUGUUGUUCUUCAGUUUUAUGAGGUAAAGCGAAUGAUUAGGGACUCGGGGGCGCUCUUUAGCCUUCAUCCAUUCUCAAACUUUAAAUAUGUAAGAAGCCCUUGUUGCUUAGUUGAACGUGGGCAUUCGAAUGUACCAACACUAGUGGGCCAUUUUUGGUAAGCAGAACUGGCGAUGCGGGAUGAACCGAACGCGGGGUUAAGGUGCCGGAGUGGACGCUCAUCAGACACCACAAAAGGUGUUAGCACAUUUAGACAAUAGGACGGUGGCCAUGGAAGUCGGAAUCCGCUAAGGACUGUGUAACAACUCACCUAUCGAAUGUGCUAGCCCUGAAAAUGGAUGGCGCUCAAGCGUCCCACCCAUACCUCGCCCUCGGGGUAGGAACGGUGCCCCGAGGAGUAGGCGGCCGUGGGGGUCAGUGACGAAGCCUAGGGC
rnacentral:rRNA from 1 species